UUUGCAAAACACGUCUUGGCACCGGAAAUGAACAGAGCAGGCGAUCAAGUGAAAAAAAAAAACAAGAAUAGAAAAUGAACUUAAAUUACUACAAUCAGAACAAACAUCCUGUUAUACAUUUCAAGGCAGAAGGGGUCUACUACUGCAAAAUGUCUUAAACUACAAAUGCUGGUCGCAACAUUCUAAACAAAACGGAGUGCUCGCCUGCAGGACAAAAGAUUCCAAACAUCUAGGCCAGACACACAAACCUACAUCGAAAUGAAUGCAUCAUCACUGUCGAAGUGAAAAUUAACGGCUAAUCCAAAGUGGUUUUCACUAUAUAAAAAAAAAACAUUGUUCAAAUAGGCGAGGUCAAAACUCGUCAGUUCACGAUCUGAACGAGAUUUUUUUAAAAAAGGACUAAUAUGGCAGACACUGAAGACAAAGCGGAAGGCGUGGCGGCCCUGUUCUGGAUUGUCCUCGGCGGCUUUGUGGACGAGAUCAUUCACACCUUUACAAGGUCCAUACCGGUCAUCGGCUUCUUUGCGAUGAUCGUUUCCUUCUGUGUGUACCUUGAGUACCGGAAGCAGAUGUUAGAGUCACAGCGACUUUCUUUUGGGAGUACCUCAACUUCAAGUGCAGAUUUAGACUUAGACUCUUAGCUAUUGAAAUGCGUCUGGUUCUCACCAAGAAGGUUUCCUAGUUUCUACACCAUGUCAGCGUUUGAAACAAAAAAAAAAAGUUUAAUUUUUUUAAUGCACGUAAGGGAGAUACGUUUUUUAAUACAAUAAUUUUAGUGAAAUGCUUUCUCUAGCUAUAUGAUGAAAGACCCCUUUCUGAAGGAUAUUUAAUGCUCUUUGAGGUUAUAUUAAUCGCCAUGGGGGUGGGGGAGAGGUUCACUUAUCUUUGAAAUUAUGCAUUCUGCUGCUAUAAAUUCCCAGUUCUCAAAGAUCCACAAUGCUCCUGAGGUAUUUAAAGGGUUAUUUUAAAUUAAUUGCAUCAAACAAGUUUAUAAUCCUGGUGCCUUUCUUUGUUAAUAUCUACUAUGAUUGCUGGUAUAGAGAGGAACUGUUUUACUGUCUUGGCUCCACCACAGAGGUUUCAUCCAUUUUGUUAAUUAGAAUAUGUAUCAAAAACUUUUUUUGUUUUUGUUAAAUAGGUGGAAGAAACACCUCUAUGUAAGAUUAAUGAAAAUAAAACAUAACUUCCAACGCAAUGUU